UUACGGCCACAUCACUUUGAAACAUCUGUUCCUGAACGAUCAGCGAAGUUAAGCAACGUCGAGCCUGACCAGUACCUAGAUAGGUGAUCGCUUGGGAAUAACAAGUGCUGUAAG